UGUAUCUUGAUUGUGGUGAUGAUUAUAUGGU
rnacentral:piRNA from 1 species